GUGGUUCGUUUGGUUGUAGUUAUCACUCUGGACAGGGUGGUGGAUCAUAUGGUGGUGGCAGACCCUAUGGACAGGGCACGCACGGUGGAUCAUAUGGCAGCAGCCAGUACGGACAGGGUGGACCAAGUGGAUCAUAUGGAGGCCAAUAUGGACAGGGUGGAUCAUAUGGAGGUGACAGCCACUAUGGACAGG